rnacentral:rRNA from 1 species
UGGGGAAUAUUGCACAAUGGGCGCAAGCCUGAUGCAGCGACGCCGCGUGGGGGAUGACGGCCUUCGGGUUGUAAACUCCUUUCGACAGGGACGAAGCUUUGGUGACGGUACCUGUAGAAGAAGCACCGGCUAACUACGUGCCAGCAGCCGCGGUAAUACGUAGGGUGCGAGCGUUGUCCGGAAUUACUGGGCGUAAAGAGCUCGUAGGUGGUUUGUCGCGUCGUCUGUGAAAUCCCGGGGCUUAACUUCGGGCGUGCAGGCGAUACGGGCAUAACUUGAGUGCUGUAGGGGAGACUGGAAUUCCUGGUGUAGCGGUGAAAUGCGCAGAUAUCAGGAGGAACACCAAUGGCGAAGGCAGGUCUCUGGGCAGUAACUGACGCUGAGGAGCGAAAGCAUGGGU